rnacentral:tRNA from 1 species
GGGGAUAUAGCUCAGUGAUAGAGUACUUACCUAGCAAGCCUGAGGCCCUGAGUUCAAUCCUCAGUAUUGCAA